rnacentral:rRNA from 1 species
AUGAGUAAUAUCUUUUAUGGUCAUGCACCCUUGAUGAGUGGUCUAUUUUUGUUGAAUCUUGAUUGUAGUGAUACACAUAUUCAUAAUAUUGAAGCCAAAAGAUGCAAAGUUAGUAAUGAUGGUGCAAUUUAUUUGUGGCACUGCCGUUUAGGUCAUAUUGGUGUAAAGCGGAUGAAGAAACUCCAUGUUGAUGGGCUUUUGGAACCACUUGAUGCUUGCGAACCAUGCCUCAUGGGCAAGAUGAUUAAGACUCCGUUCUCCAGAACAAUGGAGCGAGCCACUGACUUAUUGGAAAUAACACAUACCGAUGUAUGCGGUCCGAUGAGUGUUAUGGCUCGAGGCGGGUAUCGUUAUUUUCUGACCUUCAUAGAUGAUUUGAGAAGAUAUGGG